rnacentral:misc_RNA from 1 species
AUCUUUUCCGGGCAACGUACGCGCCAAUCGAUUUUUUGUGGCGAUCGCGUUACUCACGGCGUGCACACCCUCGCCCAGCGUCGGGAGCGCUGCCCGCGUGUGCGGGUGCAUUUCUCCUUGAAUGCGUGUAGGUGCAGAAGGAACCGCGAAUACUCCUGGCGCCGGCCGCUGCCACCCUAUCGUUUGAGCUGAAUCGUCUUUGUGCUCCAGCGUUUAACGACGGGGUACGCACAGCAGGCCCCCCCCCACCCCACCUUCUAUUGGGGUCACACACGGAUCUGCACAAACACAUAUCACUCCCUUACGCCGCCAUCAUGGAGAAGUAUACGAAAGUGAAGAAUAUUGGCAAGGGCAACAUGGGCACCUGCACCCUUGCCCGCAACAACGAGGACGGCAAGUACUACGUCAUCAAGCAGGUUGAUCUCACGCGGAUGAGCAAGAAGGACCGGCAGCAGAGCCUGAACGAGGCGCGAGUGCUGAGUUCACUGCGACACCCGAACAUCAUCAACUAUGUUGACAGCUUUCUAGCCCGCAAGUCGGACAACCUGUGCAUUGUGAUGGAGUACGCCGAAAGCGGCGACGUCUGCACGCGCCUAAAGAAGAAUUACGGUGUAAACGUGCCGGAGCGGCAAGUGUUGGACUGGCUCAUACAGCUGGUGCUGAGUCUCGACUACGUGCAUCAGCGCAAGAUCCUUCACCGCGAUGUCAAGACGCAGAACAUCUUCCUCACACACGAAAACCUCAUCAAACUAGGCGACUUUGGCAUUGCUCGCACGCUGGCAAACACGUACGACCAGGCCCAGACGUUUGUCGGCACACCUUACUACCUGUCCCCCGAGCUGAUUUUGGAGCAGCCCUACGACCACCGUAGCGAUGUGUGGGCACUCGGCGUAGUCCUGUACGAGAUGCUCACGCUCAAGCACCCUUUCAAUGCAAAGGACAUGAAAGGACUGCUGCAGCGCAUCCUCGCUGUGCAUUAUGAUCCUCUACCAACCGUGUACAGCGCCGAGUUGCGGGACAUAGUGGCGCGGAUGCUGGUGCGGGACCCAGCUGGACGGAUCAAGCUGGACGACAUCUUGCAGAUACCGAUAGUUCGUGAGCGCAUUCGGCAGUGGCUCAAAGAGCCCGACGUAGUACCGCAGCACUACGUACGCUCCCUCUGCAAGCACCACCUGCUGCCGGAUUUCCAGGAUGAGGCAACUGCUGUGCCCUCCACCAGGUCCGCCGCAAGGGCUGCCGCGGCCAUGGCGCACGAAGAGUGGCGCACCACCUCUGAGGCCACCCCAGCCCAGACGGAUGGGGACGUCUUCGCCCGCAACGAUACUGGCACGCGUCCGCACGCGACGCCAGGUGGGCCCUUCUCCAUCCCCUCCACAGCUGCGCGUGCAGCGGCGUCGGCUUGUACCUCAAGUGCAGACAAUGGAUCUUCGGACGGGGUGCGACCAUCCAUGCCGGCUCUGAAGCCGUAUAGUAACCUGCCGCAGCUGGGAGUGGCGCCACCGCAGCUGUACGCGCCCCAACUGCCACAAAUAUAUCCACGGGUGCAGAGCAACAACAGAGCUCCUAGCCCCUCGCGACUAUUCAGAUCACCUUUUAGCACUCCCAGUCUCGCACGAUCGGCGGCGCUGCCGAUCUCUCGGCAGCAAGGCGAUCUCGUGGGCCAAUCUUCUCCAGCGCCGCUGCCGUUUCAGCGACCUUCUGCUCGCGCCAAGGCUCCCAGUAGGCCCUACGCACGCCCCUACGUGGCGCAGCCCCACCUGUCCCCAUCGCCCGCCUACCUUGUCGCGGCCAACCCACGCAAGAAUCCGAGCGACAUGCGGCGUCAGCAAGGCAGCAGGCCCUCAGGCCCCUACCUGAACCCUCUGUUUUCUGCGCCUCGCCAGAUGGCGCCCGGGUGCAGGCCACUAGCUCCUCCCCUCCCACCGCCGCCCGACAUCAAGGCAAUGCUGCAGCGCGCCGCCGCCGAGCGUGCACGACGCUGACAACAAUUCGCGCAGCAGACGGGGAGGUCCCCCACGCAGACAAGCAAACCAAAAGGCACGCCAAACAAAGGGCGUAGGUGCGUCAUGUGUCCUAAUAUUCUGCAAAUCGCUCUGCUAAAGCUGCUCUCCUCCAUCAUCGCACCACCUUUAGGGUGGGUGUCGCACGUUUGCUUGUGCGCGUCACCGUCAGGCUCUCACCCGUUCCCCUCCGGAACACCACCCGUUGAGAUGGCUUCUCUUCUCUCGCGCUCCCCCUUCCUCAUUAUGUGAUUCUUCCAUUGCACCUUUUUUUAUUAUUGUUUCCCCCCUCCCCUCCUCCUCCCGCUCGCUGUGUGUGCGUGUGUGUGUGUGUGUCAGUGGUGGCUACCCGUGCUUCAUUGUCGGCUUUGUUGUUGUUGCUUCCUCUACUUUUCAUUUCCACGAUGCAUAUAGGUCCAUGUCCGGUGGCACUGCGCCGCUUCGAUCGUCCUCCUCCCCAUUCCUUUUUUUUGAAUAGCUGUGUGCCCUCUGUUUUCCAAUCCUAUCUAUUCACGACCGCCUCACCCUCUGCUCAUUGUUCCUCUCACACGUCUGUUUCUCUCUCUGUGUGCGCUUGCCUGCGUCUGCGUGUAUAUGCGUGCUCUUCUUCGUUGUGGAACGAUCGGCACCUUCGUUUAUGACUUCUCUAUCAUAGCUUCGGGCUUCGCCUCCUUCCGCCAACACACUGGCACAGACGCACCCACACCUAACUACCCCUCCCCCCCCCCACACACACGUACACAUACACAUACACAUGCAGCCUCCCUCCCUCCGUCUUUUGUUUGUCGACUUCCUCCCCCUUUUCGCUCUUCUCUGAUGCUAGGGUUGCGUGCGUGUAUGUGCUGGUGAAAGGAGGUGAGUUGUGGGCUCUUUGUUGUGUUCUCACACUCCUCCUACUUUUCUGUUUGGUUGCCGUUCUUAUCUUUUCUGGAACACACAUUGUGUGCAGAUCGCUUGAUGUGUGCGUAUGUGGUCGUGAAGGUUGGAGGACAUCUCUAAACCUGUGCAGACGCGUUGCAACGUGAUUUGUGUCUGUUAUAGCGGGGAAUUUGAAGUGGAGCGAUCAUGCGGCGCAUCUACUCACUUUCCCUCUCUAUCUUUCUUUCGAUUGCACCAUGGAGUACUCACGCGCCUACCAGCGUCAUCAGCCCAGCGACAU